CCUACGGGAGGCAGCAGUGGGGAAUAUUGCACAAUGGGGGAAACCCUGAUGCAGCAACGCCGCGUGAAGGAAGACGGUUUUCGGAUUGUAAACUUCUGUUCUUAGUGAAGAAUAAUGACGGUAGCUAAGGAGCAAGCCACGGCUAACUACGUGCCAGCAGCCGCGGUAAUACGUAGGUGGCAAGCGUUGUCCGGAAUUACUGGGUGUAAAGGGAGCGUAGGCGGGAUGCCAAGUCAGCUGUGAAAACUAUGGGCUUAACUUGUAGACUGCAGUUGAAACUGGUAUUCUUGAGUGAAGUAGAGGUUGGCGGAAUUCCGAGUGUAGCGGUGAAAUGCGUAGAUAUUCGGAGGAACACCGGUGGCGAAGGCGGCCAACUGGGCUUUAACUGACGCUGAGGCUCGAAAGUGUGGGGAGCAAACAGGAUUAGAUACCCUGGUAGUCCACACUGUAAACGAUGAUAACUAGGUGUGGGGGGUCUGACCCCUUCCGUGCCGCAGCUAACGCAAUAAGUUAUCCACCUGGGGAGUACGACCGCAAGGUUGAAACUCAAAGGAAUUGACGGGGACCCGCACAAGCAGUGGAUUAUGUGGUUUAAUUCGAAGCAACGCGAAGAACCUUACCAGCACUUGACAUCCGACUAACGAAGUAGAGAUACAUUAGGUGCCCUUCGGGGAAAGUCGAGACAGGUGGUGCAUGGUUGUCGUCAGCUCGUGUCGUGAGAUGUUGGGUUAAGUCCCGCAACGAGCGCAACCCCUGCCAUUAGUUGCUACGCAAGAGCACUCUAAUGGGACCGCUACCGACAAGGUGGAGGAAGGUGGGGACGACGUCAAAUCAUCAUGCCCCUUAUGUGCUGGGCUACACACGUAAUACAAUGGCCAUCAACAAAGAGAAGCAAUACCGCGAGGUGGAGCAAAACUAUAAAAAUGGUCUCAGUUCGGACUGCAGGCUGCAACCCGCCUGCACGAAGUUGGAAUUGCUAGUAAUCGUGGAUCAGCAUGCCACGGUGAAUACGUUCCCGGGUCUUGUACACACCGCCCGUCACACCAUGGGAGUUGGUAACACCCGAAGUCAGUAGUCUAACCGCAAGGAGGACGCUGCCGAAGGUGGGAUUGACGACUGGGGUGAAGUCGUAACAAGGUAGCCGUAUCAGAAGGUGCGGCUG
rnacentral:rRNA from 1 species